rnacentral:lncRNA from 1 species
UUGAUUUGUACAACUUGCACUGAAAAAGAGGCAUAAAUAAAUAAAUACAUUUCCCCCACUACCUAGCCGAGAAAUGAAAAAGAAGAAAGGUAUUUUCAACUAUAACGGCAUAAAUGAUUGAGUGACUUAGAUAUGGAGUGGUUCAAUUUUGUAACGGGGCUGACUGUAAAGGGCAUUGGCUAGGGUGUAUCGGUGUCUAUUGUAUUGUACUGUGAUGUUUCUUUUUUUGUGUGUGCAGCAAGGUCUAGUGCUUAGUUAUUUGCUAAGCCACCCAAACUUUAAACAUGGUUGUAACUUCUUUGAUGAGUGAAUGGCAUAUCUUUUUACUAAUCAAAUAAAAAAAAAUUACAAUAAAAAAGAUCAAUUCACGGCGAGUUAGUUUAAGAUGCUUCAAAUCAUAAAUAUUAACAAAGUUUUGGUACAUAAUCCUCUUCUUCCACAAGAAAAAAAGAGAUCCCAAUGCAUCGAUUGUGGCUCAAGUGGAUAAAAUUCAUGAGUGGAGACUGCAGAAUGGUGGUAAGCCCAAUUUUUUUAUCAGGGUUGUUAAACAGAACAACACUCCAUAUACUUCCUCUCCUCAGGAUACCAUUAUAACAAGUUACCAAAAGCCUUAUGACUCUCAUAAGCAUGGACAAAACUGUAGCUAUAUCAACAGCCCUCUAAGGUCUCCCACUAAGGAUACAAGACUGGACAUCAAUAUAAGAACAGUACUCAAAGAGAUUUUGGUACUCAUAAUAUGCUAGGUCCCAAAGGUUGAUGCUACUUUACUUUGUUUGCUUGCUCGAACUAAAUUCUUUAUUUUAAGAUGAAUAUCCUAGAAUUUGAUUUUUCAACGCAAGGCUAAUGAUGAUUAAGGGUUAAGGUAAUUGAGACUCAACUAAAUGGACGUGCUUAAAAUUGGUGAAAUGGUACUCAGGAAUCCAAAGAGAUUCAAGCAAACUGCUGAUUGGUAAGGGAUUUGAACUAUUGUAGAUCAUCUUAACGUCCAUUACAAUUAAUAUAUAUAUAUAUAUAUCUUCUUACCUUAACAUGAGGCAAAUCAUCAACAGUUAAGAUGAUAGAUCUGAAAUAGCAUGUACCCUGGACAUCCAAUAUAAAAGAAAACGAUAUGUGUAAGCUUUACUUCAAAAUACAUAAGAAUGUAGUCAUAUAUGAAGGUAAUGAAAUAAACUCAAAGGGAAAUACAUAAUACUGUACCAUAUAGAUAGUAUUUUGGAUCGAAACAGCAGAUUUUUUUUCUGGUGUCUGAGUGCAGCAGAGACCCAUAAAUUUAUUUAGAUUCAAGUCUUAUGCCCGUCCCGAACUUCUUUUUCUCAAUAGAAGACAUAGACACUAGACAGACAGAUUAUAAGAUGAAAUGGAUGGUAAGUCUAUCUAAACAUUGAAAGAAACUUGCAAUACUAAUAAAGAACCUAUAAAGCAAUUGAACAAAUAAGAGCACAAAAAGGCUGGAAGAAGAAGUUGUAAAAUAAGAAUGAAUACAAAACUUAAUUCUUAAUUCUUGACUGCAAUUGAAAAGAUAAGUCUAUCCCAAUUGAAAAUUCUCCCUUGAUUUAUCUUUUUACAGAGAUUAAUUCCUGAUUCUUCUUUGUCUGCAAGCCUAGAUCAGAUCUAUAAUUUCAAAACAUUAAUUAAUAAAAACUACAACCUCACCAUUCUGUCGACGAAUCGAUUAAUCUGAAAAUUGAAUUAAAAUCGUGUUUCUUGAGAUCGCUCGAAAUUGGCAAGAGUUCUUUCACAAUUCGGCUUCGGGGAUGAACUUGUUUGUUUGUUUUUUUUUUUUUUCUUUUUCUUUUUGUGUGAAGGAAAAAAUGAAGUUGCGAAAACAGAGUAAAAAGUCCAAGGCCUCCAAAAUAGGUUGUUUGUUACUGAGUACUGACACACAAGACCACUUGUCGUCUAAACUCUAAAUGGGUUUUAGA